rnacentral:rRNA from 1 species
AAAAGUCGUAACAAGGUUUCCGUAGGUGAACCUGCGGAAGGAUCAUUACCGAGUUGAUUCGAGCUCCGGCUCGACUCUCCCACCCUAUGUGUACCUACCUCUGUUGCUUUGGCGGGCCGCGGUCCUCCGCACCGGCGCCCUUCGGGGGGCUGGCCAGCGCCCGCCAGAGGACCAUAAAACUCCAGUCAGUGAACUUCGCAGUCUGAAAAACAAGUUAAUAAACUAAAACUUUCAACAACGGAUCUCUUGGUUCUGGCAUCGAUGAAGAACGCAGCGAAAUGCGAUAAGUAAUGUGAAUUGCAGAAUUCAGUGAAUCAUCGAAUCUUUGAACGCACAUUGCGCCCCUUGGUAUUCCGAGGGGCAUGCCUGUUCGAGCGUCAUUUCAACCCUCAAGCUCUGCUUGGUAUUGGGCCCCGUCCUCCACGGACGCGCCUUAAAGACCUCGGCGGUGGCGUCUUGCCUCAAGCGUAGUAGAAAACACCUCGCUUUGGAGCGCACGGCGUCGCCCGCCGGACGAACCUUUGAAUUAUUUCUCAAGGUUGACCUCGGAUCAGGUAGGGAUACCCGCUGAACUUAA